rnacentral:snRNA from 1 species
GUGCUUGGUUCAGCACAUAUACUAACAUUGGAAUGAUACAGAGAAGAUUAUCAUGGCCCCUGCGCAAGGAUGACAGGCAAAUUCAUGAAGCAUUCCAUAUUUUU